UAGGGAAUCUUCGGCAAUGGACGAAAGUCUGACCGAGCAACGCCGCGUGAGUGAAGAAGGUUUUCGGAUCGUAAAACUCUGUUGUUAGAGAAGAACAAGGACGUUAGUAACUGAACGUCCCCUGACGGUAUCUAACCAGAAAGCCACGGCUAACUACGUGCCAGCAGCCGCGGUAAUACGUAGGUGGCAAGCGUUGUCCGGAUUUAUUGGGCGUAAAGCGAGCGCAGGCGGUUUCUUAAGUCUGAUGUGAAAGCCCCCGGCUCAACCGGGGAGGGUCAUUGGAAACUGGGAGACUUGAGUGCAGAAGAGGAGAGUGGAAUUCCAUGUGUAGCGGUGAAAUGCGUAGAUAUAUGGGGAAACACCAGUGGCGAAGGCGGCUCUCUGGUCUGUAACUGACGCUGAGGCUCGAAAGCGUGGGGAGCAAACAGG
rnacentral:rRNA from 1 species